AUCUCAAUAAAGAAUCUGCCUGCAAUGCAGGAGACCCAGGUUCAAUUCCUGG
rnacentral:tRNA from 1 species